ACAUGCCUACAACAUAUCGUUAAUGCACCAGAUCCCAUUAGAACUCCGCAGUUAAGCGCACUUAGGCUAAAGUAGUACUAGGGUGGGUGAUUUCCCAGGAAUUCCAAGUGUUUUACAUGCC
rnacentral:rRNA from 1 species